rnacentral:rRNA from 1 species
AUUGAACGCUGGCGGCAGGCCUAACACAUGCAAGUCGAGCGAGCGGCGGACGGGUGAGUAAUGUCUGGGAAACUGCCUGAUGGAGGGGGGUAACUCCUGGAAACGGUAGCUAAUACCGCAUCCCAUCAGAUGUGCCCCGAUGGGAUUAGCUUGUAGGUGGGGUAACGGCUCACCUAGGCGACGAUCCCUAGCUGGUCUGAGAGGAUGACCAGCCACACUGGAACGGAUACACGGUCCAUACGCCUAAGGGAGGCAGCAGUGGGGAAUAGUGCACAAUGGGCGCAAGCCUGAUGCAGCCAUGCCGCGUGUGUGAAGAAGGCCUUGGGGUUGUAAAGAACUUUCAGCGGGGAGGCGGUACCCGCAGAAGAAGCACCGGCUAACUCCGUGCCAGCCGCCGCGGUAAUUC